rnacentral:rRNA from 1 species
GACGAACGCUGGCGGCGUGCUUAACACAUGCAAGUCGAACGGAAAGGCCCCUUUGGGGGUCCUCGAGUGGCGAACGGGUGAGUAACACGUGAGUAACCUGCCCUUGACUUCGGGAUAACUUCAGGAAACUGGGGCUAAUACCGGAUAGGAAUCCUUGCUGCAUGGUGGGGUUGGAAAGCUUCGGCGGUUUUGGAUGGACUCGCGGCUUAUCAGCUUGUUGGUGGGGUAGUGGCUUACCAAGGCUUUGACGGGUAGCCGGCCUGAGAGGGCGACCGGCCACAUUGGGACUGAGAUACGGCCCAGACUCCUACGGGAGGCAGCAGUGGGGAAUAUUGCACAAUGGGCGGAAGCCUGAUGCAGCAACGCCGCGGGCGGGAUGACGGCCUUCGGGUUGUAAACCGCUUUCAGCAGGGGCGAAGCUUGUGGUGACGGUACCUGCAGAAGAAGCACCGGCUAACUACGUG